rnacentral:rRNA from 1 species
AAUGAACGCUGGCGGCAUGCCUUACACAUGCAAGUCGAACGGCAGCAUGACCUAGCUUGCUAGGUUGAUGGCGAGUGGCGAACGGGUGAGUAAUGCAUCGGAACGUGCCUUUUAGUGGGGGAUAACGUAGCGAAAGUUACGCUAAUACCGCAUAUUCUCGGAGGAGGAAAGCAGGGGACCUUCGGGCCUUGCGCUAGAAGAGCGGCCGAUGUCGGAUUAGCUAGUUGGUGAGGUAAAGGCUCACCAAGGCAACGAUCCGUAGCGGGUCUGAGAGGAUGAUCCGCCACACUGGGACUGAGACACGGCCCAGACUCCUACGGGAGGCAGCAGUGGGGAAUUUUGGACAAUGGGCGCAAGCCUGAUCCAGCCAUGCCGCGUGAGUGAAGAAGGCCUUCGGGUUGUAAAGCUCUUUCGGCUGGGAAGAACGCGCACCCUCUAAUACAGGGUGUGGAUGACGGUACCAGCAGAAGAAGCACCGGCUAACUACGUG